UGAUUCAUAGUGUAAUUGGCAGCACACAGGAUUUUGAUUCCUGGAGUUUAGGUUCGAGUCCUAAUGAAUCAA
rnacentral:tRNA from 3 species